UUGUCUUACUGAGCAAAGUCUUUUGAGUGUAUGCAAGCUGUAGUUGUGUAUCCUGACAGCUGCCUCUGUUAUUUCCCCCCCAGGCGGAGCAUGGAAACGAGAGGGCAGCAAGCACGGGGUGUGCGGACACACGGGAGCUGAAAAUACAGAGCACGGACUUCGGGUGUAGAAAGACACGACAAGGGAGUCAGGGGAGCGCACGGGGAUCUAUUGUGUAAUAUUCACAGCACUGUCAAUAAACGCACUGUUUUCUGCACCAGAGUCCUGCAUUGUGGGUCCUGAUUUCCCCACAUCCCCACGGUCUGCCAGCCAUGACAGUGUGUACGUGUCACCAUUAGUGACAGGCUUGCCACUGAAAAAAGAGAAAACUGAGAGAAAGACACGACUCCCACGGUUCCUGUCAAAACCUUGGAACAGGAACAGCUCAAACAACAUGAUAUUGUCUAAAACCAGGAUGAAAGCCAGGAACAAGUAGCUGUUUGCCAGAAAACCGCAACAUACAUGGCUAAGAAAGCGUCAGUCACAUUUUGGAAAGGAGAUUUCAGUGCCUUCGAAAUGGCUGCAAUUGUGAAUGCUGCUAAUUGAACUCUUUCUCACAUGGGCAGACUUACAAAGGCACUAUUUGCCACUGGUGGAUGUAAUAUCAAAGCAGAGAGCAAUGUCUUCUUUGCCAAAAAUGGCAAAUUAAAGACAGGACAAGUAGCGGUAAGCAGGGAAACUACCUUGCAUGACGCUUAUUCAUUUGGUAGGCCCAUGUCUGCAGAAUGACCCAACAGUGCGCAUGAUAUCCACUGCUAAAGUAAAAUAAAAUGAUAAAUUAGUCCACAAAAAGUAGCAGUCAUUAAAUAGAUUCAAACUGUUUUUUUUUUUUUUUCAGCUGUUAUGAUUUCUAAUCAAACACACCCCACAAAUAUUAUGUGUAAUAUAUCAGCAUUAAAGUGUUUUACAAGAACAAGAGUAAAUGAGACAAGUAUUAAUUUCUGAAUUUUGUUUAACAUCACAAA